rnacentral:misc_RNA from 1 species
AUUAUGUAAUAAAUUAGAAAGUGUAUCACAUCAUUACACGAGCUCUUUUUGUAUAGUUGCUGCUGGGAGAGGGUUCAUUGCAAAAGACAUGGGCUUCCAGAACACAGCAGGCCCACAGAAAGAACAAGCAGUAGCGCUGCGUUCAUCGUCAGACCAAUCCAUCUUCUAUCGUUGCUCCUUUGACGCAUUCCAGGACACCCUCUACACUCAUUCAAAUCGCCAAUUCUACCGCGAUUGCCAAAUUUCAGGGACUGUAGACUUCAUCUUUGGAAAUGCGGCAGUGGUUUUUCAAAACUGUAGCAUACAACCAAGGCAACCAAUGCCACGCCAAUUCAAUACCAUCACUGCCCAAAGCAAGUCUGACCCAAAUCAAAACACAGGCAUGUCAAUCCAAGGGUGUCGAAUGAAUCCCUUCGACAACCUGACAGCUCCCACAUAUCUUGGAAGGCCCUGGAAGGACUAUGCCACUACAGUGAUUAUGCAAUCUUACAUCGGAGGCUUCUUAGACCCCGCGGGAUGGGCUUCCUGGGAAGCAAAUGUUAGUACUGUUUUCUAUGCUGAGUUUCAAAAUUUUGGACCUGGGUCAUUGACAGAUAGAAGAGUGGGAUGGCCUGGUGUUAGGCUCAAUAUUACUUCUGAAGAGGCAAAGAAAUUCACAGUGGAGGUUUUUCUUCAUGGAAGCCAGUGGCUACCACAAGCCCAUAUAAUAUUUGACGGGACAUUGUGAAAAAGAGAGAGAUGCAUAUUUUCCCUGAAUUAUUGGUGUUUACAUUGCUCAUCAUAUGCUUAUUGCAAAUAAAUUACUAGAAGAGCACAAAUACAUUUUACAGAAUCACAAUCUACAAACAUGCAAAUCACCAGCAACGGAACUUCUUUCAGAUUAUAAUGAAUUUGUAGGCAAAAAAAAAUUACACAAAUCUACAAAUCUGCAAUAUCAUCUUGCCACCACAAAUGACAAUCUAAACAAAUCUGCAAAUCUAUACGGUCGCAUUUGACAUAAUUACAUAAAUCUGCCAGGUGAGGCGGCGAUGAUUUGAACAAAGGCAUGAGUUGAGUCUGUCAUAGUCGCAGAGGCGAUGACCCAUGGCCAUGUGUUGUCUGUCACAGAGUCAAGAUGGGAGCUAUGGAGGGACAUGCAAAAUUGGAUAAGAGGGGAUGAGCAA